rnacentral:ncRNA from 1 species
UUCAUUCCAGCGGAAGAGUCCGGACCGCGCCACGGUCCGGCGCCGAAGGCGCAACCACCCCGGAAACGCUCAGGCACAAGGGACCGCACGGGAUUU